GACGUAGGGCGCGAGCGUUGUCCGGAUUUAUUGGGCGUAAAGAGCUCGUAGGCGGCUUGUCGCGUCGUCCGUGAAAACCUGCAGCUCAACUGCAGGCUUGCGGUCGAUACGGGCAGGCUAGAGUUCGGUAGGGGAGACUGGAAUUCCUGGUGUAGCGGUGAAAUGCGUAGAUAUCUGGAGGAACACCGGUGGCGAAGGCGGCAUCCUGGACCGGUAUUGACGCUGAGGCGCGAAAGCCAGGGGAGCAAACGGG
rnacentral:rRNA from 1 species